CCCUUAUCAUAAAUUCAGUGAAAAAUAUUUUGAAAUAAUUAUAUAAUUGUAAAUUGGAAAUAAUUCAACAUUGUUUAUUAAUUAAAUAUAUCAUUCAUUUGUUACACACUGUUUAAAUUUUUGUAUGAUUGAACAAGACCGUAUCUCCACAGACAGAGUGCAGCCGUGCAGGUUCGCCCGUGCAGGUUCGCCCUAGCCCAGUUUUUCUGACGAUAAUUCAUAAUCUUCCUAAAAAAAG